CUGGUGUGGUGGUGGAUCAUUCGGUUCGUGUGUCGACGAAGAAUACAGCCAUCUGUUUGAAUCAAUGUUAACUGCAUAUUGCUUUGAACAUCGACAUCUUCAAUACAGAUUGCGGCUAAGGGAUAUCCUGUGUCCACGUCUAUAUGCAGGUCG
rnacentral:rRNA from 1 species